GGAAAACAGAUUUUGCUGGAUACUCUAGAGGUGUGCUGGGAAUCGCUAAGGGACCAGCUGGGCUGUCACAACAGUAAGUAGUUUGUGAAUCUCAGCAGAAGAUUUAUGAUAAUCUUGGCCACAGCAGUGGCACCCAAGGGCAUGCACAGGGCAGAAUUUUCAGUACCUGAGAAUAUUGUUCUCAGAAAAAAAUCCUCUUUUCCUAUGUCCUCUCAGGUGUAUCACUGGGCUAGGAGGGGUUUGGUAGCUUGUUUUGCUAGUCACCCAAAUUCCCCCUUGCACUGCACUUCAAGAACUCAUAAACACAUUUUUCACUCCCUUGUGUGCUAGAAAAGAAGAUUGAUUCAGUCAUUGCCUUUUCUGUACUCGCAUUAUGUGUAGGUUAUAAGUGCUAGAUGUGAUUAUAGUCACUUCCCUCUCCUAUACGCAGCACACUUCCUUGCUAGCCUCAAUGUAGAAGACCCUCUGCCCAAAGCUGAGAGGCAGAAGGCUGGGCAGUUUUGUCUCCUUUGGGUGAUAGGAUGUUUCCUUCUGGGAGUUUGAUCUCAGACACUGCAGCAUCAUUGCCCCAGUUGCUGCUAUCACUGCUCUGCAGCACUGGAGUAUCAGAGCGUUGCUCAUGUAAGCUGUUUUGCAGCCUGCAGCGACAACUAUCUGCAAUUUAUGAUGAACAGGAUUACUGAAAUACUGUGAGACAGCAGCCAAAGGACUUGCCAUGCAGGCAGCGGAGAUGUGGUAAAUCAGGCUGUGGAGUUACCCGUGCACUUCCAGAAAAGGAAGGCUAUGCAGCUGCAGGAAUAACGCAUUGCCCCACCGGUGCUGGAACCACUCUUUGGCAAAAGGUUUGCAUGAAAGAGUUGUGACUGUACAAGCCUAUACUCCAUACCUGUGGUUACCUACAUCUAGUGGGCUUUUUGUCUCAGGCUCACCUCUGUAAUUAGAUGAAGUGAUAACCAAGCGGCAUGCCAGCAUCUGUGGCACAGCUCCUGGGCUUGCAGAACCCGUACUGCUGAUGACUUCUAUUAGUCACUCUCAACAGUGGCUUUUAAUGCAGCCAGGGCUGGGCUGCUGUGUGCAGGUCUGAGCAUCCCUGGCUACCCAUUGCAGUUCCUAGGCCUUCACCACAUGGUGGAAGGCAGCUUUCUCCAAGGAGGGGGGAUUUGGAAUCUGUGAGUUUAGGAUACUCAGCAUCUCCCUGGUGGGUUUUCAGGCCCAGCUCAGUAGGCUUGGUAAGAAUCUAGUUUUCAGACACUCUUUUUCUAUGGUACGAGAUUAAAGAGGAAUUAAAGAAAAUUUUAAGGCACCAAGGCAUCAAGAAAUUAUUGCUAUCUUCUAGAAAUUUAGAUUAAGGUGUUCUAAAUAUUUGGCUUUUAAUGGAAAACAACAAGAAAACAUGAAUAUAGUCAAAUUAUUGCCUGUAGUUUCUGAUUUUGAGACUAACAGACUGUGUAAGGCCAAAUGUUGUGUUAUGCCGUAGAUCACGAACAUGGCCUGAAACUGGAUGAUAAAUUGUGCAGGCAAUGUAAAGGCAUGCUAAAAGCCCAAAGCUAUUUUGAAUUCUGUUAGGAAAUGUACUCAACUGUGUUCCAAAGAAAAUCUCUUUUCCAUAGCAAUGAAGGAGAAUUUAUCUACAGGCUCCACUCUUCCAUACUUCUUCCUGUGCUGUCCCUUGUGCUUAGAAGAUCCCUACAGACCACAGAGCUAUUGCAUUUCCUGUUAAAAGCUACAUAAAAGAUUUCUUUGUUUAUUAUUCAAAUAUUUGAUGUUUGUUGUGAUGCUGAUUUGCUCUGGCCAUUACCUUUCCUAUUAACAAGUGCUCUCUCUUUAUUUCCUUCUGGUUUCCAUGCCUCUAGUUUAAUAAUGAGGCUGACAGUUGUCUGGGACAAGGGCUGUAUUUUUGAUGGAUGUUUGUAUAGAGCUUGUCAUUCUGGUGCUUGGUUUCUGACUGUGGAUGUCAAAUAAUAAUGAUGUUUCCAAUUCUUUCAAACUCCAGCUCUGUAACUGUUUCAGAAGUUCUCUUUUAAAUACUUAGAAGCAAAUCAUUAUUUUAGCAAUACUUUCCACAUCAGUUAUGAUUUCUUUUAAUAAUCUAAGUGCUUUUUCCAACAUUCCUCACAAGCGCUGUGUUAUGCCUGUAUCAUUUUAGUGAUUUAAAGCCCAAGACUUAACAAUACAGAGAUCUGCUCCAGAUGUCUGAAUAAAACUGCACAGUACAACCACUGAAACCCAAGCGCUGCUGCUGGGCAGGGAGUGCCUUGCAAAUGAGAGGCAGGACAAGGGUUACAACAUGCGUCUUCUAAUACCUGGCAUAUGCCUCCGCAAUAAUUCAAUCUUUAGUGUUAUUUCCCUGGGGUAUUUACCUAUCUCAUACCUAAGGGAUGCCCUUGUCUUAGUGCAGGAAAUUACGUAAACAUCAGAAGCAUUAGAGCACUGUCAUUGAUAAACAUCCCUAAUUAGUGAAACCCUCUUGUCACUGGUUCAUCACUGUAUCCUGUCUCUACUGUUAAGUUAAUCUCUUUCUAUUUCCUAAGUGGAAAUCAGGAUCUACUUCUGUAUUAAGCCAGUCUCUAAUCCUUGUACCCAGCUAAACAUAACCAAAGUCUAUUUAUAUAUUGGGCUAUCCCCAAUUAAACAGAAAAAUACUAUAACCUAGUUCAGAUGUUGGGUAACACUGAGUAUUAAGAGUGGUUAUUUAUAUCGUUAAGAUCUUUCAGACUUGCUGUGUUAAAUAAAAGCUUGGACUAAGCUUUUUAAUGCUUGCUGUCACAGCCACAUGGGCUUGAAAAUUCAAUGAGCAGUGUGAUGAUGACCCCCAAAUUUGCUGGCUUGGCUGGGAUCUCCUACAUGUUCCGUUUGGGAUGGUGGCUGAAGUCCCUGGCUUGCCUGAGCACUACAGGAGGCAGCUCCUAUGGCAGCUGUGAGUGUUUUGAUGUGGUUUUGAACUUGGCAGCUCCUUCCCUCUACUGCAGCCAGCGAAGUGACAGCAAGCAGGAGGUUCUGUUCAACCUGCUCAGGAAUCUGUCCGUGUAUGCUGGUGUUUGAUAAAUCAGUUUUCCCCCAGAUGCAAUAAGUACAGUUUGUGCAUUAAAACAGGUGAGUUUUGGGAACUUGCUGCUCUAUUUGCAGGAAGUAUACACUCCACAGUGCCUCAUGGAAAGGCAAUAAUUAAAGUAGUGACGCAGAAUUAAAAUAAACAAAAAUGUUACUACCAGGUGAUUUGUGCAGCUCUAAUGAAAUUAGUAAUUAAUAUUGGAGACAGUGCAUUACAUUUGACUGUGCAAGGCUCUAUAUCUCACUUUCUCAUGUUUGGGCUUGGGGUUAUUCUGUCUUUUGCUUAGCUAUACAAUGCAGAGAGCUGGUGUGGCUUCCAGUCUUCAGUCAUGGCUGCUUGUCACUGUCACUGGGUUCUGUUUUUCUAGAAAGAAUAAAUAUAUGUGACUGCUGCUUCCAUUGCUUCUGGACUAAGGCAGGGCCAGGUGGCUGUUUCUCCUAGUAUGGGGUGCUAAACUGGUGAAGGUGGAGCAGCAUCUUCAACAGGGGACUACGCUACAUGCUGCUGCCCCUGAGAAAUCACUGGCAUGGUCUGGAGGUGAAAUUAGAACUGUGGGGACAACAGCAGAGUGCUGCCAAGUACAUUCAGGAUGUGUAUACACGAAAUAGCUCACUUCCCACACAUUGUGUGUUAAGAAUUUUCCCUUUCAGUUACAGGACUUUUUUUAUUGCACUUUUCUAACAUUCAGGAACUUUCCCCCUCAUUGUGGAAAGUACUUUCCAGUGUAGUACUUUCUUUAGACAUGGAAAAUAAAAUAAUCUGAAAACCAGCUGCUUGCAAGCCGUGUAUGUCCUUCACAGAAUGUUACAUUUCUUAUCUGACAUCUCCAGAGCUUGACUGCUCCCUGCCUAGAGAAUAAGUAAUUUCAUC